rnacentral:rRNA from 1 species
UCCCAGUUCGGAUUGCAGGCUGAAACCCGCCUGCAUGAAGUUGGAAUCGCUAGUAAUCGCGGAUCAGCAUGCCGCGGUGAAUACGUUCCCGGGCCUUGUACACACCGCCCGUCACACCAUGAGAGUCGGGAACACCCGAAGUCCGUAGUCUAACCGCAAGGGGACGCGGCCGAAGGUGGGUUCGAUAAUUGGGGUGAAGUCGUAACAAGGUAAC